rnacentral:ncRNA from 1 species
AGGUACCGCUUUCCCGCACUACUCGCGUCACUCGGUACAAGUGACAAACGAGGAAGU